GAUGAACGCUGGCGGCGUGCCUAAUACAUGCAAGUCGAGCGAACAGAUGAGGAGCUUGCUCCUCUGACGUUAGCGGCGGACGGGUGAGUAACACGUGGAUAACCUACCUAUAAGACUGGGAUAACUUCGGGAAACCGGAGCUAAUACCGGAUAAUAUAUUGAACCGCAUGGUUCAAUAGUGAAAGACGGUUUUGCUGUCACUUAUAGAUGGAUCCGCGCCGCAUUAGCUAGUUGGUAAGGUAACGGCUUACCAAGGCAACGAUGCGUAGCCGACCUGAGAGGGGAUCCGCCCACCCUGAACCUGAGACACGGCCCGACUCCCUAGGGGAGGCAGCAGAGGGAAAUCUCCGGAAUUGGGCGAAGCCUUACCGAGGAAACGCGCGGGAGGUGAUGAAGUCUUUCGAACCUUAAACCUUGUUAUUAGGGAAGAACAAAUGUGUAAGUAACUAUGCACGUCUUGACGGUACCUAAUCAGAAAGCCACGGCUAACUACGUG
rnacentral:rRNA from 1 species